AUACGGAGGAUCCGAGCGUUAUCCGGAUUUAUUGGGUUUAAAGGGUGCGCAGGCGGCCAUUUAAGUCAGCGGUUAAAUCGUGGGGCUCAACCCCAUUCUGCCGUUGAUACUGGGUGGCUUGAUUGCGGUCGAGGUUGGCGGAAUUCGUUGUGUAGCGGUGAAAUGCAUAGAUAUGACGAAGAACACCGAUUGCGUAGGCAGCUGACCAGACCGCAAAUGACGCUCAUGCACGAAAGUGCGGGGAUCGAACAGGAUUAGAUACCCUGGUAGUCCGCACAGUAAACGAUGAAUACUUGUUUUCGGCGAUAUAAUGUCGGAGGCAAAGCGAAAGCGAUAAGUAUUCCACCUGGGGAGUACGCCGGCAACGGUGAAGCUCAAAUGAAUUGACGGGG
rnacentral:rRNA from 1 species